rnacentral:rRNA from 1 species
UACGAAGGGGGCUAGCGUUGUUCGGAAUCACUGGGCGUAAAGCGCACGUAGGCGGAUCGUUAAGUCGGGGGGUGAAAUCCCAGGGCUCAACCCUGGAACUGCCUUCGAUACUGGCGAUCUUCGAGUCCGGGAGAGGUGAGUGGAACUCCGAGUGUAGAGGUGAAAUUCGUAGAUAUUCGGAAGAACACCAGUGGCGAAGGCGGCUCACUGGCCCGGUACUGACGCUGAGGUGCGAAAAGCGUGGGGGAGCAACAG